rnacentral:rRNA from 1 species
CCCUGGUUGAUCCUGCCAGUAAUCAUAUGCUUGUCUCAAAGACUAAGCCAUGCAAGUCUCAGUAUGAGCCGCUUUAAGGUGAAACCGCGAAUGGCUCAAUAUAUCAGUUUUGGUUCCUUAGAUCGUACAUAGUUACUUGGAUAACUGUGGCAAUUCUAGAGCUAAUACAUGCAAACGUAGCUCCGACCUCGAAAUGGGGGAGGAGUGCUUUUAUUAGAUCAAAAACCAAUCGGCGGCUAGUCCGUCGCUCUCUGAGAUGACUCUAGAUAACUUUGAGCGGAUCGCACGGUCGAGCACCGGCGACGCAUCUUUCAAAUGUCUGCCUUAUCAACUGUCGAUGGUAGUUUGCGCGACUACCAUGGUUGUCACGGGUAACGGGGAAUCAGGGUUCGAUUCCGGAGAGGGAGCCUGAGAAACGGCUACCACAUCCACGGAAGGCAGCAGGCGCGCAAAUUACCCACUCCCGGCACGGGGAGGUAGUGACGAAAAAUAACGAUACGGGACUCGUCCGAGGCCUCGUGAUCGGAAUGAUUACACUUUAAAUCCUUUAACGAGGAUCCAUUGGAGGGCAAGUCUGGUGCCAGCAGCCGCGGUAAUUCCAGCUCCAAUAGCAUAUACUAAAGUUGUUGCGGUUAAAAAGCUCGUAGUUGAAAUUGUGUCCUGCGGCGUCGGUCUACCGAUUGCGGUACGACAGGCGCGUCUGCGGGGCUUCUCGCCGGUGCGUUUAUCGUGCGUCUUUUUGUGCGCGGCACUGCUUCGCGGCAAUGUCACGUGCAAUUAUGGACGUUUCAACGAUUCACGUCGCGGCAUUUUNNNNNNNNNNNNNAAAGCGGGCUAACAUACGCCUGAAUAUUGUACGCAUGGAAUAAUAGAAAAAGACCUCGGUUCUGUUUUGUUGGCUUUCUGACACCAGAGGUAAUGAUUAAUAGGGACAACUGGGGGCAUUCGUAUUGCGACGUUAGAGGUGAAAUUCUUGGAUCGUCGCAAGACGGACUAAAGCGAAAGCAUUUGCCAAAGGUGUUUUCAUUAAUCAAGAACGAAAGUUAGAGGUUCGAAGGCGAUUAGAUACCGCUGUAGUUCUAACCAUAAAUGAUGCCAGCCAGCGAUCCGCCGAAGUUUCAUAAUUUUAACCCGGUGGGCAGCUCCCGGGAAACCAAAGCUUUCGGGCUCCGGGGGGAGUAUGGUUGCAAAGCUGAAACUUAAAGGAAUUGACGGAAGGGCACCACCAGGAGUGGAGCCUGCGGCUUAAUUCGACUCAACACGGGAAAACUCACCAGGCCCGGACACUGGAAGGAUUGACUGAUUAAUAGCUCUUUCUCGAUUCGGUGGGUGGUGGUGCAUGGCCGCUCUUAGUUGGUGGAGCGAUUUGUCAGGUUAAUUCCGGUAACGAACGUAACUCUAGCCUAUUAAAUAGACGUGCAACCGGUAUCAAGAGGCGUCUGCUGGGUGCGCGGCGUGCGCGUGUUCGCGCGCGCUCGUCGUGUGCUCGGCGGAUCUUCACUACCGGCGUACAAUGAAUAUCUUCUUAGAGGGACCGGCGGUAUAUAUAGCCGCACGAGAUUGAGCAAUAGCAGGUCUGUGAUGCCCUUAGAUGUCCUGGGCCGCACGCGCGCUACACUGAAGGGAUCAGCGUGUCCUCCUUGGCCUAACGGCCCGGGUAACCCGAUGAAACCCCUUCGUGAUAGGGAUUGGGGUUUGCAAUUCUCCCCCAUGAACGAGGAAUUCCUAGUAAGAGCGAGUCACCAGCUCGCGUUGAUUGCGUCCCUGCCCUUUGUACACACCGCCCGUCGCUACUACCGAUGGAUGAUUUGGUGAGGUCUUCGGACUGACGCGCGGAAGCCCUCCGCGGGCAUCUCCGCAAUGUCGGAAAGUUUGACCGAAUUUGAUCAUUUAGAGGAAGUAAAAGUCGUAACAAGGUUUCCGUAGGUGAACCUGCGGAAG